GACGAACGCUGGCGGCGUGCUUAACACAUGCAAGUCGAACGGAAAGGCCUGCUUUCCCUUGUGGAUUGCGGGUACUCGAGUGGCGAACGGGUGAGUAACACGUGAGUGAUCUGCCCCCAACUUGGGUAUAAGCCUGGGAAACUGGGUCUAAUUCCCGAUAGGACUGCAGGGUGGUGCCUGUGGUGGAAAACGAUUUUCUAGUGGUUGGGGAUGAGCUCGCGGCCUAUCAGCUUGUUGGUGGGGUAAUGGCCUACCAAGGCGGCGACGGGUAGCCGGCCUGGGGGGGUGGACCGGCCACUUUGGGACGGGGAACGGGCCAGGAUCCUACGGGGGGGAGGCGUGGGGGAUAAUGGACAAAGGGGGGGAGGCUUGAGGCGGCACGGCGGCGGGGGGGAGGCGGCCCUUGGGGGGGAAACUCCUUUCGACCGCGAGGAAGCCACCUGGUUGGAAGGGUGGUGACGGUAGUGGUAGAAGAAGCACCGGCUAACUACGUG
rnacentral:rRNA from 1 species